rnacentral:rRNA from 1 species
AUACGUAGGGGGCAAGCGUUGUCCGGAUUUAUUGGGCGUAAAGCGCGCGCAGGCGGCUCUUUAAGUCAGGUGUGAAAGGCUGCGGCUCAACCGCAGAGCUGCACCUGAAACUGGGGAGCUUGAGUACAGGAGAGGAGAGUGGAAUUCCCGGUGUAGCGGUGGAAUGCGUAGAGAUCGGGAGGAACACCAGUGGCGAAGGCGACUCUCUGGACUGUAACUGACGCUGAGGCGCGAAAGCGUGGGGAGCGAACAGGAGUAGAUACCCUGGUAGUCCACGCCGUAAACGAUGAGUGCUAGGUGUUGGGGAUUUCCCUCCUCAGUGCCGAAGUUAACACAUUAAGCACUCCGCCUGGGGAGUACGGCCGCAAGGCUGAA